rnacentral:rRNA from 1 species
GACGAACGCUGGCGGCGUGCUUAACACAUGCAAGUCGAACGCUGAAGCUUGGUGCUUGCACUGGGUGGAUGAGUGGCGAACGGGUGAGUAAUACGUGAGUAACCUGCCCUUGACUCUGGGAUAAGCCUGGGAAACUGGGUCUAAUACUGGAUACGACAUGUCACCGCAUGGUGGUGUGUGGAAAGGGUUUUACUGGUUUUGGAUGGGCUCACGGCCUAUCAGCUUGUUGGUGGGGUAAUGGCUCACCAAGGCGACGACGGGUAGCCGGCCUGAGAGGGUGACCGGCCACACUGGGACUGAGACACGGCCCAGACUCCUACGGGAGGCAGCGGUGGGGAGUAUUGCACAAUGGGCGGAAGCCUGAUGCAGCGACGCCGCGUGAGGGAUGACGGCCUUCGGGUUGUAAACCUCUUUCAGCACGGAAGAAGCGAAAGUGACGGUACGUGCAGAAGAAGCGCCGGCUAACUACGUG